rnacentral:lncRNA from 12 species
GCAGAUGGCUCCCCAUGUGAUGUUGUUUUUGGCUUGCCAAAAAUCAAGAUGCCAAGAGACACUGAAACUAGUCAAGGAGUUUCACUGCCUCAUUGUAUUCUUCCCAAUAACAUGACACCAAGUAUCUGAUAUUUCCUGUAUUGCUUCCCAUUAUUUGCCAAGAGAAGAGUCUUCAAACAGCUGAAAGAUCCUGAAUCCUGGAGUGGAAACUGCUCAUUUGGUGACAGGCCAUGCACGGAAAGGUGGUUUCUGAAACCAAAAGCCAAUGCCCUGUGGAGGUAGCAGAUAUUAUAGAGAAUGUGUGUGUGUAUGUGUGUGUGCGUGUUUGUGUGUUCUGACCCCUCUUAUUAACAUUAAUUUGUGGUCUCAUAGUGGCAAAAAAUCGCAACAUUUAUUCACUUGAUUCGGGACACAAAAAGACAAAUCUCUUUUCUACGAUUGUAUAGAUAACACCUAACAAAGGCUCAGGCCCACAGCUUUAAGGACAGAAAGGCUUUAGGGAGAAAAUGUGCAGUUGUUGUGCGUUCUCCUCCUUCAAUGCAAUGUGUAGUUGCCUUGCUUUCUGGAAGGAAGAUGGAGAUCUAUAAUGAAUCUUGUUUAGUGACCGAAACAGAGUCACAGUCUAUUCGUGGUGGCCGUAGAGAGUUAUACACUCAGCUCCCCCAAGGGAGAACAUUCCAUGAGGAGCAUUGUUACCUAACAGCUUCUACAGCAGGCCGUACCUCUGCAUCCACCACCACCUUUGUGCCAAGGCCACAGUCUUCCCAGGUGGCCCCCAGCCAAUGAGCGUGGUGGGUGCACUAGCCAAGGGCCUGAUAUAGGCCAGUUCUGAUGGGCAGCAUGCACUCUCCUCAACCUGACCAAGACUUUUACAGGGCCGCGCUGUGGUCUGUGGCUCCUCCUAUUCAAUCCACCCUCCUUUCCUCUCUCCUUUUCCAGCUGUCAGACCUACAUUACUAUCGGAAGGCUCUCCUACUCCUGCCACCUGGUCCUUUACCAUUUGUGUCCCCAGACAUUGCCAAAUGUCCACUGAGAGACCACAUCCCCUGGAUGAGGACCACGAGUGUAAGGUCUCCGACUUGCCCAAACGGAGCUUCUCCAGAGUCUCACCUCUGUGUUAAUGUCACACUAACUAGGAUGUGCCAAAAAGCAUAG